GGCCAGUUCAGCACGCAAUUUUUCAACUUCCUGAGACAUGGAAACCAUACCCUUUUCCAUUGCCUCAGCCUGCUCAAGAUUACUAGCGUGUGUUCUUUUCUCAUAUUCGAUAGCAGCCCUGUUCAGAUCAACAACAAAUAGGCAGAGGUAAUUUUCAAGCCUCAAUUAUACUUCUCAAAUAAAUAGGAUACUGCAUUGGAUUUCUUCUGCAUAAAAGGAGUGAUCCUACCAAUUUUUUUGCCCACUCUGUUAUAUAAUAUCAAGUUGUUUUGUUUUGCAAUCAACAAACAAGAAGAAACAUUGGAGUUAACUAUAGAAAAUGAUGAAACUUCCACAUGCCGACCUCAAAACAAUCUGCUUACAUUUCCUCCUCCUAACUUUUCUGAUUCUAUUAUUCUUUUUAUUCCAAUGGUUUGAACAACUUCAUCAUAUUGAAUAUAAUAUUUUUGCAAAGAGAAUUGUGCCAACUCUAUGACUAAACAAGCAUAUUGUUCGUCCAGUAAGAUCAUAUAAGAUCUAAUAUUAAAGAUAACAUAGUUUUGCACCAAGUGAACUGAUACUAGGAUUGUUUCCUUGAACAAGCAUACUGCUUUUCCUUUUAGGAUGAGAUAGUUUUGAUAUACAAUGUUUUUAGCUUGACAACCAAUUUAAUGUCUUUUCUAUCCACUGUAAUACUUUCUUGGCAUGAAGGUAUCUCGCUCCACCUCUCAACUUCGCCUAACCCAAACAAAGUAUACUCCAAAAUGGAAUUCUUAUCUCGUUGAGACUGACCUACUAUGCCUAUAUCUCCGGGUGUUCAAUCACUGAAUAAAAGAGACUACUUGUUCUUUAAUAAAGGUGGCCGGCGUUUCUUUCCCAGGCUUGUGUCCACAUCUCGUUUUCCAAUCUUUCCAAUUCCAUAACUGUUGAACCAUGUCUUUCAAAAGUGGCCACUCAUGUAAACAUAAAUUAAGAAAGGGCCUCGAAAGCGACCACUGUGAUAGUAAUGAUAUCAAUAACAAGAACAGCUAGACCAAAAGAACAAACUUUAGAGUCUUUUAAUGGUCAAACUUUCAAGUAGGUACUAAUGUUCAAAAAAUUGAAAGAAAAGGCUUAGCAUUUGAACUGAUAAUUUGAUAUCCUCUUUGCAGCAAAAACAUAAAGCUAUAAAAGAAUUAAGCUAACUCAGGAACAAUAGAUGGGAGAAACCUUCCCAGCCAGAGAAACUCAACAUAAAACUUGAAAAGGCUAUUUCGAACUAUAGGGAAGAAAAAGAUAUUGAAAAACUAAAGAAAAACGUCCAAAGGAGCAAUAAAAAUUUACCUUCCUCUUUGAAUUUCAUGGUGCAUUCUAUCAAUUUCAGCUUUAAUAGACGGCAAUGGCUGUGACUCCGAAGAGGCUUUAGUAAGGUCGUCGCGAAUAGCUUGCAACUCGGAAUUUAACUCUUUCUUGACGGCACUCAGCCUCUGUAUAUCCGCCCGUAUUUGAACGAGCUCCGCCAUCAUAGCGUCC
rnacentral:lncRNA from 1 species